ACUUCUCUUCUUCAGGGAAAUCCCCAUGGCCGCCGGAGAUCAAGGCACCUGUUUCUUCUUCGCCGGAGUCUUCCCUCCUUUUCCAGCUUCAGUGGAAAUCUCGGUAUCAAUAUUUUCAUCAGAGAUUACAUCUUCUUCCAUGGGAAUCGCAUGCCCAGAGUCAACAUUCUGCAAUUCUUCCUGCACAAAAUCCUCUCCCAGCAGAUCAUCAUCCUUGAGCAAUUAAAACUUCUAAUUCUCCAUCCUCAUAGAGCUCAGGGUUGUUAAGCCACUCAUCUUCCUCAGCAAUACCAUCAAUUGUCUCUUUUGUUCCCAUAGUCUCGGUCUCGACCAUCUCAUCCUCUUCCAUAUAUUCUUCUGCAGCAAUUUUCAAAAUUUAUAUGAACCCAGAAUCCACAGCAUCUCUCCCAUCAGCUUCUUCCUCAAUCAAUAGUAUUGGGUCAUGAUCUUCAACCAUUAGAUCCACGGUUUCCUCAGGAUUUUCUCCUUCUUCCUCUUCUUCAAGUGUUUGUUCAUACCAGCUUUUGGUACUUAGCGGCUUUGAAGGUAUGGAUUUCUCAAUCUGGCCCUGGCUUUGUGGAUUCUGAUUGUUGAUCUUUGCAGGUUCAAAGUUUAGGGUCUUCUUCACGGAGCUUCCUGCCUCUAAAGACUUCCCUAUCUCCAUAUCAUUCUUCUUAUCCAUCAUAUCGUUCUUGCUAAGUAGGGUAAGGCGGAAAGGGUGGCUUCUCUGGUGCUCGGGUGAGAUAUUCUCAAAAAGGAUUGUUGCAGCAUCACGACGAGGUUGGUCAGAGAUAGUCCGUUGAGAGUCAGACGAGAUCUUAGCGGAUUGGAGGAGUUUCGCAGGGGGGGUUGUUUAUCAGAACGGGAGUCUCUUUUCGGGUGGUGUGACUGUAUCCUUUGUCGUGGAUGGUUUUCAUCAUCCAGAUGAGCGUGUUGUUCAUACCAGCGAGCUUCUGAGCGGUUUUGUCUAUUUUCAUCCUGGAAUGUAGUGAAAGUCUUCCAUUCACGAACAGGGGCUGAAAUCUGGCCUGCUUGUCUCUGAAGAUGGAUGAUAUCUCGAUCCAUGUUUUGAUAAUCUCUUGCUGCUUGAGCUAAAGCCCUCUCAGCUUCUCUUUCUAGCAUCUUAGCUCUUCGCUGGUCUUCAGUUAACAGGGGACAGGUCCUCUCGUCAUGAGAAAUGUGCCAGCAGGGGUUCAUCUGCGUUUAGAGAAACCUGGACUCUAGCAGCUCUAGCAUUGAUAGCUUUAACAUCCCACAGAACUCUUCUAAUAGUUCGGAAUUUUUCCUCCAUCCAGAAAUGAGUUGGAAUACCUGAGACUCUUAUACAGAAGAUCAUCUUACUUGGGAAAGACUCUCUUAUCCAGAAUCCAUCUUUCCAACGAGAAAGACCGUUUGUUGAAAUGGCAGGGUCUCUUGUUUAAGACCUUCUGGAGAUCUGCUUCAGAAUCAAAAUCAAACUGAAAUCGAGAGUUGUCCAGAUCGAUACCAUGAACCCUUCCUUCAACAUCCCAAAUGUUCGGUCUUGGCAUGAAGGCGAUAAAGGCUUCAGUGCUUCUUAUGUUCUGGUUGAACAUGCGAGCCACAAGGCUCCUACUGAACCUGGCAAUGAGUUGGGAGUUAUCAACAUGAGGUAGAUCUAUGGUGUCAUCUUCCUCUUCCUCGUGGGAGUUGAUGGUAAAGUUUUUGUUAGUAUUUUCCAUCUUCGAAGUUCAGGAACUGAGAAGAGCAAGUAGGAGGCUGGAACUUAUCAAAAAGCUAGAAUUUUGAGAAGUCAUGGUCGAAAAGAAAGGCGCCGAUGCACUUUCCAAAAAGGAAGAGGUUUUUAAACUUCAGUCUUCAGUCUUGCUUGGAGGAAAGCUUCAAUCUUUGCAAGAGUAGCAGAGUUUUUGCUUUUGGACGUGGUGAAUUCAUUUUUUCCUCGUUUGAAGUAAAUAAGUAAAAAUAGAAAAGUUUAUAUUAUGAUAAUCACGAUCUAUAUUAACAAUGAUUUAUAUCA